GCGAAAGUGGCGGAACUGGCAGACGCGCUGGAUUUAGGAUCCAGUGGGAGACCGUGGGGGUUCGAGUCCCCCCUUUCGCACCA
rnacentral:tRNA from 1 species